CCCUGGUUAGCUCAGUUGGUAGAGCGCUCCACUUGUAAUCGAGAGGUCCCGGGUUCGAUACCCGGACCAGGCG
rnacentral:tRNA from 1 species